rnacentral:rRNA from 1 species
CAAGUCGAACGAUUAAGACUCCCUUCGGGGAGUGUAUAAAGUGGCGCACGGGUGAGUAACACGUAAGUAAUCUACCUUCGAGUGGGGAAUAACAGUCGGAAACGGCUGCUAAUACCGCAUAAUGCAGCGGCAUCGAAAGAUGACAGUUGUUAAAGGAGCAAUUCGCUUGAAGAGGAGCUUGCGGCAGAUUAGCUAGUUGGUAAGGUAAUGGCUUACCAAGGCUACGAUCUGUAUCCGGUCUAAGAGGACGGUCGGACACACUGACACUGAAUAACGGGUCAGACUCCUACGGGAGGCAGCAGUCGGGAAUUUUGGGCAAUGGGCGAAAGCCUGACCCAGCAACGCCGCGUGAAGGAUGAAGUUUUUCGGAAUGUAAACUUCGAAAGAAUGGGAAGAAUAAAUGACGGUACCAUUUAUAAGGUCCGGCUAACUACGUGCCAGCAGCCGCGGUAAUACGUAGGGACCAAGCGUUGUUCGGAUUUACUGGGCGUAAAGGGCGCGUAGGCGGCAAUUCAAGUCAGCUGUGAAAUCUCCGGGCUUAACUCGGAACGGUCAGCUGAUACUGCUUUGCUAGAGUGCAGAAGGGGCAAUCGGAAUUCUCGGUGUAGCGGUGAAAUGCGUAGAUAUCGAGAGGAACACCUGAGGUGAAGACGGGUUGCUGGGCUGACACUGACGCUGAUGCGCGAAAGCCAGGGUAGCAAACGGGAUUAGAUACCCCGGUAGUCCUGGCCCUAAACGAUGAAUACUUGGUGUCUGGAGUCAUUAUUGCUCCGGGUGCCGUCGCUAACGUUUUAAGUAUUCCGCCUGGGGAGUACGCACGCAAGUGUGAAACUCAA